UGCAGUCUUCUAGAUGUUUCACCUCUAGUAUUCUCCAGAGGUAUUCUUCAAAGACCUGGAAACUUGAGGCUGAAUCUGCAGGGUGAAAUGAGAUUCCUUCUGGUGGUUUGCCUAAGGAAUGAUGUGCCCCUGGCAGAAGUGAAGGUGAAGACUAAGCUCCAGUCUAUGAAACAAAAUGCAUCUCUGGCGUCUCAGCCCAAGAAGGAGCAGCACAGCUCUGGUUAGUAAUACAGCAUCAUCUGACCAUUCACCUCUGCCAAAGCUGGCAACAAAACCCUCUUCAAGCAAGUUCAGGGGACAGCUGGUAAUAUCUGGAUCAAAUCAGUUCUGUGGUUUAGCUCAGACUUAAGGGAUAAGGCAUAUGCUAAUGGUCUUUCUCUCCUUUUUAGGUAAGCAUUUCCAUUUGUAAUAAGCCACUGAUCUUGGAGGCUGCAGUCUGGACUCAGAGAAAGAACCCACAGAGCACCUAGGACAUGUUUGGCCUUGACAAAGUUUUACUUUCCAGCUUCUCCAUUUGUAGUGGAUUGACAGCUGGUUUCAAAUGUCUCGUAUUUAACUUUCCUGUUUUUCUUAAUCUGUGGAUUCUUUUCUGGAACUUUCUGUGCAUAGCAAAAACCUGUCGUGGGCUGGUGAGACCCUCUGCCUCUCACAGUGCAGAAUCAGACCCAGUAAUCAUGGACGCUAUGCUUUGUUCUCUACCCAAAACAGGCAUCUUUUGAGAGGAAGGGUGACAGGAUGAUGAUUUCUUUUUGUAAGCAGAUGUGAAGAACAUGAAAAAAAAAAAUCUUAAUAGCCAAUCCAAAAAUGACCAGAGGCACUAUUUUGCAAUACAGAGUGUAUGACCUAGUAAAUCCAAACCUCUCUAAUGUAACAU